GACGAACCGUGCGAACGUUAUUCGGAAUCACUGGGCUUAAAGCGCGUGUAGGCGGGGUGGUGCGUCGGUCGCUGAAAUCCCCCGGCUCAACCGGGGAAGGGGCGCCGAGACGACCGGCCUGGAGCGACGUAGGGGGAACUGGAACUUCCGGUGGAGCGGUGAAAUGCGUUGAGAUCGGAAGGAACGCCCGUGGCGAAAGCGAGUUCCUGGACGUCGGCUGACGCUGAGACGCGAAAGCCAGGGGAGCGAACGGG
rnacentral:rRNA from 1 species